rnacentral:pre_miRNA from 1 species
GCCAGCCGCGGGUUGUGUGGACAUCUUACCCGGCGGCAUUAGAUUGACCGGCUCUCUUCUAAUACUGUCAGGUAAAGAUGUCUCCACGACUCCAUGUC